AUACGGAGGGUGCGAGCGUUAAUCGGAAUUACUGGGCGUAAAGCGCGCGUAGGCGGCUUUGUAAGUCGGAUGUGAAAGCCCUGGGCUCAACCUGGGAAUUGCACUCGAUACUGCAGAGCUAGAGUAUGGUAGAGGGAAGUGGAAUUUCCGGUGUAGCGGUGAAAUGCGUAGAUAUCGGAAGGAACACCAGUGGCGAAGGCGACUUCCUGGGCCAAUACUGACGCUGAGGUGCGAAAGCAUGGGGAGCAAACCGGAUUAGAAACCCGGGUAGUCC
rnacentral:rRNA from 1 species